UAGGGAAUCUUCGGCAAUGGGGGCAACCCUGACCGAGCAACGCCGCGUGAGUGAAGAAGGUUUUCGGAUCGUAAAGCUCUGUUGUAAGAGAAGAACGUGUGUGAGAGUGGAAAGUUCACACAGUGACGGUAACUUACCAGAAAGGGACGGCUAACUACGUGCCAGCAGCCGAGGUAAUACGUAGGUCCCGAGCGUUGUCCGGAUUUAUUGGGCGUAAAGCGAGCACAGGCGGUUUAAUAAGUCUGAAGUUAAAGGCAGUGGCUUAACCAUUGUUCGCUUUGGAAACUGUUAAACUUGAGUGCAGAAGGGGAGAGUGGAAUUCCAUGUGUAGCGGUGAAAUGCGUAGAUAUAUGGAGGAACACCGGUGGCGAAAGCGGCUCUCUGGUCUGUAACUGACGCUGAGGCUCGAAAGCGUGGGGAGCAAACAGG
rnacentral:rRNA from 1 species